rnacentral:rRNA from 1 species
AUGUCUCCUUAUUUGUUUGUUAUUGCCAUUAAUGAGCUCUCUCUCGCCCUUAAUGAAGCUCUAGCUGCUCAACAUCUACAAGGAAUUUCGCUUGGACCAAAUUGCCCUCCUAUCCAUUCUCUGUUGUUUGCAGAUGAUCUGUUGGUUUGUGGCCAAGCUAAUAUGCAGGAAGCAAAUUCUAUGGCUCAACUCAUUCAUCACUUUUGUUCUAUUUCAGGUCAAACUCCAAACUGGGCCAAAUCGGCUAUUCUUUUUAGUACUCAUGUCAGUCAAUCUGCUAUACAAGAGAUUAAGCAAGUUUUUCCUGUUUCUACCAUGAACAACAAUUUCACUCAUCUUGGUCAUCCUCUUAUUCUUCCUGCUAAAAAUAGAACUGUUGCAUACAACUUUGUUCUGGAUAAAUUCAUGAAUAAAUUGCCGGCUUACAAAGCUAAUAUGCUUUCUCAUGCUGCUAGGUUUGAAUUGAUUCGUUCUGUUUUCUCUGCUAUUCCUGUUUAUUAUAUGGCUAACAUUUUGUUCACUAAGAAGUUUAUUACAAAACUUACUGCUAUUAUUAGGAAUUUCUGGUGGACAGGUGUUAGGGAAAAGGAUUCCAGAAGAAGCCUUUGCCUUAGAGCAUGGAAAGACAUAUGCGAUUCUAAGAAAGAAGGUGGGCUGGGCAUAAGGAAUUUGCAGGCUAUUAAUGAGAGUCUCAUUAUUGCAGCAGCUUGGAGAAUUGCUAAAUCACCUUCUUCUCAGUUGUACCUCAUUCUCAAAGCUAAAUACUUUCAUGACUCUUCUAUUUGA